AGGACGAACGCUGGCGGCGUGCUUAACACAUGCAAGUCGAGCGGAAAGGCCCUUCGGGGUACUCGAGCGGCGAACGGGUGAGUAACACGUGAGUAAUCUGCCCCUAGCUCUGGGAUAGCUCCGGGAAACCGGGAUUAAUACCAGAUACAACCACUUUAGACAUCUCUUGUGGUGGAAAGAAUUUCGGCUAGGGAUGAACUCGCGGCCUAUCAGCUUGUUGGUGAGGUAACGCUCACCGAAGGCGACGACGGGUA
rnacentral:rRNA from 1 species